UACGUAGGGUGCGAGCGUUGUCCGGAAUUACUGGGCGUAAAGAGCUCGUAGGCGGUUUGUCGCGUUGUUCGUGAAAACUCACAACUCAAUUGUGGGCGUGCGGGCGAUACGGGCAGACUGGAGUACUGCAGGGGAGACUGGAAUUCCUGGUGUAGCGGUGGAAUGCGCAGAUAUCAGGAGGAACACCGGUGGCGAAGGCGGGUCUCUGGGCAGUAACUGACGCUGAGGAGCGAAAGCGUGGGGAGCAAACAGG
rnacentral:rRNA from 1 species